GACGAACGCUGGCGGCGUGCUUAACACAUGCAAGUCGAACGGUGAAGCGCCUUCCUUUUUGGUGGGUGUGGAUGAGUGGCGAACGGGUGAGUAACACGUGAGUAACCUGCCCCCUUCUUCUGGAUAACCGCAUGAAAGUGUGGCUAAUACGGGAUAUUCUGGGUCUGUCGCAUGAUGGGUCUGGGAAAGAUAUUGUUUCGGUGGGGGAUGGGCUCGCGGCCUAUCAGCUUGUUGGUGGGGUGAUGGCCUACCAAGGCGGUGACGGGUAGCCGGCCUGAGAGGGUGGACGGUCACACUGGGACUGAGGCACGGCCCAGACUCCUACGGGAGGCAGCAGUGGGGAAUAUUGCACAAUGGGCGCAAGGCUGAUGCAGCGACGCCGCGUGAGGGAUGGAGGCCGUCGGGUUGUGAACCUCUUUCGCCAGUGAAGCAGGCCUGCCUCGUUUGUGGGUGGGUUGACGGUAGCUGGAUAAGAAGCGCCGGCUAACUACGUG
rnacentral:rRNA from 1 species